rnacentral:rRNA from 1 species
GUGACCUCAAAUCAGGUAGGACUACCCGCUGAACUUAAGCAUAUCAAUAAGCGGAGGAAAAGAAACUAACAAGGAUUCCCCUAGUAACUGCGAGUGAAGCGGGAAAAGCUCAAAUUUAAAAUCCGGCGGCCUUUUUGGCUGUCCGAGUUGUAAUCUAGAGAAGUGUUAUCCGCGCUGGACCGUGUACAAGUCUCCUGGAAUGGAGCAUCAUAGAGGGUGAGAAUCCCGUCUUUGACAUGGACUGCCAGGCUUUGUGAUGCGCUCUCAAAGAGUCGAGUUGUUUGGGAAUGCAGCUCAAAAUGGGUGGUAAAUUCCAUCUAAAGCUAAAUAUUGGCGAGAGACCGAUAGCGAACAAGUACCGUGAGGGAAGAG